GUAGGUGGCAAGCGUUGUCCGGAAUUGUUGGGCGUAAAGCGCGCGCAGGUGGUUCUUUAAGUCUGAUGUGAAAGACCCCCGGGCUCAACCGGGGAGGGUCAUUGGAAACUGGGGAACUUGAGUGCAGGAGAGGAAAGUGGAAUUCCACGUGUAGCGGUGAAAUGCGUAGAUAUGUGGAGGAACACCAGUGGCGAAGGCGACUUUCUGGCCUGUAACUGACACUGAGGCGCGAAAGCGUGGGGAGCAAACAGGAUUAGAUACCCUGGUAGUCCACGCCGUAAACGAUGAGUGCUAAGUGUUGGGGGGUUUCCGCCCCUCAGUGCUGCAGCUAACGCAUUAAGCACUCCGCCUGGGGAGUACGGUCGCAAAGACUG
rnacentral:rRNA from 1 species